rnacentral:rRNA from 1 species
UACGUAGGCAGCAAGCGUUGUUCGGAGUUACUGGGCGUAAAGGGUGUGUAGGCGGUCUUCUAAGUCUGGUGUGAAAUCUCCCGGCUCAACUGGGAGGGUGCGCCGGAAACUAGCUGGCUAGAGUGCGGAAGAGGAGAGUGGAAUUCCCGGUGUAGCGGAUGAAAUGCGUAGAUAUCGGGAGGAACACCUGUGGUGCAGACGGCUCUCUGGACCGUAACUGACGCUGAGACACGAAAGCGUGGGGAGCAAACAGG